AUGGAUAGCAUACCAGGCUCACAAGAGGAAUUGCUUCGAAUGAGGAAAAAUGGUGAGGCAGGAAAGAAGGGGGAAGACCAUGGAAAUGCCUUGAGCCGCAAGGAGGCGACCGAGGAGCUUAUCGGUUGCAUGGUCCACAGUGAGGAGGAGGCAUACAAGCUGUACUGCGACUAUGGACAUCGAAUCGGCUUUAGUGUCCGGAAGGGCAAGCAGUCCUACUUCAUUGGUACCAGGGACAUCCGGACAAAAGAUUACUACUGCUCGAAGGAAGGGCUUAAAUACGACGAGCCUGUCACAGAAGCGAAUUUCAACCGGCCGGACACAAGAACGAAUUGCAAGGCGAUGGUCCGCUUUAGAGUCGAUGAGAAAGGGCGUUGGACUGUCAUACGCUUUGUUCCCCUGCACAAUCACCAGUUGGCUAAACCUGGGGAGAGGCAUCUGUUGAGAUCCGCGAAGUCAUUUGCUGUUGGAAAAUCAGGUGUUAUAGAUCCAGCAGAAUCUGCUGAAUCACAUGCAAUGAAUGGUUCUUCUGAUAGGACCGUGGGUGAUAUUAGUGAACCUCCAGGCUACACGACAAGGGAUUGCUACAAUCAUGACAACGUGCAGAAUAUAACGCUAAUUGGGGCAGGAGACAGCCAAAGUCUUGUGAGCUACUUCAAGCGUAGAACCAACGAGGAAGGAAUGUUUUAUUGGGAUGUCCAAGUUGAUCAAGAAGGCCGCAUGACUAACUUCUUCUUCAGGGAUGGUAAAAGUAGAAGUGAUUAUGACUGCUUUGGGGAUGCUGUUAUAUUUGACACAACCUACCGCACAAAUAAAUAUAGCCUGAUAUGUGCCCCUUUUGUUGGAGUUAACCACCAUUGGCACAAUGUUGUUUUUGGAUUUGCAUUCCUGUUAGAUGACUCCACAGCUUCCUAUGUUUGGCUAUUUAAAUCAUUUUUGGAGUCAAUGGGUGGCCGGUCGCCAAAAUCGAUUUUCACUGACCAGGAUGAAGCUAUUAUGCAGGCAGCCGAGCAGGUGUUUCCUAACACGCGGCAUUGCUUCUCCUACUGGCAUAUCCUGAAGAAUGCACAGUCUCAUUUAGGCACUGUAAAUACUUCUCAAGCAUUUCAAAAUAUGUUUAUGAAGUGCAUGCAAGGAUGUGACACAGAAAUGGAGCUUCAGGAAUCUUGGGAUGCUAUGCUUGAUGAAUACAAACUACAGGAUAAUGAUUGGCUUAAUGGCCUUUAUAAGUUUCAUAACAGAUGGUGCUCGGUAUUUAACAAAGAUACUUUUGAUGGUGGGAUCAAUUCAUCCCAGUGGGGAGAAGUCUCAAACAAUAUCCUCACUGGAGUUGCUGAUGAAUCUACUUCUAUAACAAGAUUUGCUCUCUUGCUGGAAAAGGUUGUGAAAACACUACGUAGAAAUGAGUCAGAAGAGGAUUUUCGCUGCAGCCAAACUGCUCCAGUUCGUGCAAUCAAGCACAGUACAGUUCUGAAGCAGGCUGCGGAAUCUUAUACACAUAGGAUGUACAAGUUAUUUGAGGCUGAAUUUCUGGAUGGAUGUGGAGCAACUUCAUGUCAUGAAAAUUCCUGUGGUGGAAGCUUAUUGAGGUUUGAAAUAACAAUGCAGGGCAGGGGUUCAAAAAUGUGGACUGUUCUUCUUGAUACAUCCACAAUGGAAAUCUCUUGUGGUUGCGGAAAGUUUGAAAGGAUGGGCCUUCUUUGUUCUCAUGCUCUGAAAGCCUUCAGCCUGCAGAAUGUGGAUAUGGUUCCUGAAAAGUACAUCUUGAAACGGUGGACGAAAGAUGCCAGGAGAAGCAUGUAUAAUCUCAGUCAAGAAGAUUCAACACAACAAGAAUGUACCGAGGCUGAACUUGCGUAUCGCAAUCGCGCAAUGCAGUAUGCGUAUAACCUUGCAUUGAAGAGCCAGGAACUGGAAGAAGCAAGAAAGAUAUUCUGGGACUCCCUUGAAACAGGAGAGAAGGCACUUGAAGUGUUCUUCGAAAUGAGAAAUCUGCACGCUCAAUCUGCCAAAGAUGCCAGUACAAGGGAGAAGAAGAAGAAGAAGAAAAUACCUAAAGGACCAAGCACCAAAAAAGCAAAGCAAGCCCUGGCAUCUUCCUCGGCUGCUCCGGUACUAACCGCCCAAACUAAUGAGCAGCAGUUUCAAUCUGCACAAGAUGCAAAUGGUAAUGCAACCAUUGGAAGAUCAUAUUACUAUCAGGUUUUUCCAACGCCUAUGCAACCAAACCAGAUCUUCAUGCAUCCGAAUACAAUGCCUGUUUGUGCACCACAGGAUUUGUCAGCAUAUGCCACAGUGCGUCCUAAUUCAAAUUUCGGCGGCGCGAAGAACAUCUAA
rnacentral:rRNA from 1 species